UGGGGAAUAUUGCACAAUGGGGGAAACCCUGACGCAGCGACGCCGCGUGCGGGAUGAAGGCCUUCGGGUUGUAAACCGCUUUCAGCAGGGACGAGGCCUUAUGGUGACGAUACCUGCAGAAGAAGCUCCGGCUAAAUACGUGCCAGCAGCCGCGGUAAUACGUAUGGAGCAAGCGUUAUCCGGAUUCAUUGGGCGUAAAGCGCUCGUAGGCGGUCUGUUAGGUCGGCAAGUUAAAUCCGGGGGCUCAACCCCCGUCCGCUUCCGAUACCGGCAGACUUGAGUUUGGUAGGGGAAGGUGGAAUUCCUAGUGUAGCGGUGGAAUGCGCAGAUAUUAGGAAGAACACCGGUGGCGAAGGCGGCCUUCUGGGCCAUAACUGACGCUGAGGAGCGAAAGCUAGGGGAGCGAACAGG
rnacentral:rRNA from 1 species